AAGUUACAUUUUAUAAUGUUUGUUUUUUUUUUAAAUUUCUGUCAUAUACCUACAUUGCUAUGAAAUUAAUAGGAAUAUUUUUUUAUUUACAAUUUCUAUUUAUCAGUCGUAGCAAUGCUUAUAAUAUCAUGUCUUAUGACGAAAUGAAAAAUAUUUAAUUUAUUAUCAAAUAUUUAUUUUAAUGUUAUUAUGUAAAAUUGACUAUGUUAGAUAGUUACUUAUGUAUAUUAAUGUUUUUUAUAGUUUUUACCGUAGAGUAAUUAUUGUACAUUCAAGUCAAUCCGAAUCGCGCUGAUUAGCAUAUGAAGAAUUUCACUUUGUAAUUUAUUUUAAUAAAGACUAUCACGCAUUUAACUAUUUAGUUUAGGUAAUUUAAUUACAUUAAAAAUUAAUUUCAUUUU